ensembl:lncRNA
AUGUACGGUCACAUUGGAUUUGAAAGCAACAUCCUUUCUUUCUUUUCUUCCACGCUACCUGAAAGAAGGCCACUUUCUGACCAGUUAUGUGCACAUCGGACCUACGCUUCAAAAGAUACGGACAGGUUUACCAGUCUGAAUAUUCAGUCGAGCCUCGUGGAUCAACAUCUGGACGUGGAAGGCGGCUCCGUUGACCCAGAUUUUGAACCCACGGCUGCUCAUCUGUCUGUCAUGCAUCAGGGAGUUUCUGAGAAUGGUGAGAUGAUUGCUCAGCUGUUUUUCCAGUCUGCUUAUUUCCUCUAGUAAUUGUCGGUCUUUGUUCAGGUACAUGCGAUGGCGUUUCAGAUACUCUGACAUUGUGUCCCGGACACUCGAAGCUUUCUCUUCACCAAACACACGUCGCAACAUGUUGUAUGUGUCAUCACUUGUCUGAGUGUUGGCCUUGAUGCUGAUCUCUAUGAUCAUAGAAAUCAUCAAAGCUCCAAGUCCAACAGCAUUUGAAGUCAUCGGAGACAAAACGGAUCCCAGCUUACCGAUGUAGUCUGGAACCGUUUUGAGCAUCUCCUUAGAAAAAGCCUGCAGCACCGCAUUAGAGUCGGUACCAGAAUAUUUCAGCACAGACUCAUCUAUGCCUACAUCUGGUAAGAGGCAUGCUUGAUGCUGUAAAGCGUUUUCAUAAAUUGAAAGAGCAGACCUCUCAUAGUCCUCUUGUGAAAAUUCGGAGCCCAUGAUUUUUCCUCUCAAUCCGUGAUCGCUUACACAUACGUAUAUAUAUCGUACAAGUUCUCAAAUUCACAUCUACGUGCUCUUGAGUUUUGCUGCUCUUUUACCUUCAUAGCUCCCUCACAUGUAACCAGGAUGACAACUCCAACAGCCAAUAAGACCUCUGGAAAAUGUUUAGGCAUAUUUGUUGACUUGUUUCUAAAGUCCAAUAUGUUCAAGGUCCAGAAAAACAAGCAUGUGCAUUAUAAGUCUUUUAUAAGCUACUUAAAGAAAACAUUCCCAGAAUCUACCUCAGAAACAGGAAAAAGCCAAAAACAUAAAAGGGAUAUUGACUUAACCUACAUCAGCAUUUAUACUAUACAAUAUUUUGUAAAAUAAAAAACACAUUUCACAUGAUUUGUUAUUUUUGUUUUAAAAAACUUGACUGUAACCCUGUUCCCUGAAGAACCAGGACUUAGAUUCUGCACUUGAUUCAGUGCUUAUGGGAACGUCUUUAGGAGUUUAGGAGUUAUUACAUUUUUAUUUUUAUACAAGGUCCAGUACUUUUUAACUGAAUCUGAAUAUCUUCUAUAUUUAUGACUGUGUAUUUGAAUGUUGGUAUGUCGUGUGUAACUUCAUAUCGCCUUGUACCAUGCGUCUUAUCUUGGACAGGUCACGGUUGCAAAUGAGAACUUGUUCUCAACCGAUUAAACUGGUUAAAUAAAGGUAAAAUAAAAUAAAUAAAUAAAGGAGUGACCAGCUUGUGAACACAGUGUGUGCAACACGUCAAAUUGAACUAGAACCUUUAUAGCCUCUGUUACUGACAUCAUCAGAAUGUGGAAGCAUCAGAAGCUAUAAUUAAAUGUGUCGCGGGUGGUAUCGCCAGGUAUAUUACUCUAAAGAGCAGUCCUGGAGCAUCCUCAGUGCGGCAAUGAAGUGCAGCAUCUCGUUCCUGCUUUUUCAGGGAACAGGGUUAAGGGCAAGUAACCCAAGAUGUUGCAGUGUCACAGGCUGAUAGCAUCCAUGCUACACCUCACUGAGGCAGUAAUUCAUGCAAAAGAAGCCCAAACCAUGUACGGAGUACAUGAUUAUACUUUUCAGAGGGCUGACAUUGCUGCAUUUAAAAUCCUUUUUUUAUUGAUUUCAUGUAAUAUUCAAAUUUAGAAUUGGGGGUUUUAAUAAGCUGGAAGCCAUAAUCAUCAAAAUUAUAACAAAUAAAGGCUUGAAAUAUCUCACUUUGCAUCUAUAUUAGAUUCACCUUUUAAGCUGAUUUACUGAAUAGUUUAAUAAAUUAACUUUUUGCACGAUAUUCUAAUUUUUCCAGUUUCACCUGUAAAAAGUUCAACUGACCUUUCUUUAUGUCAACUCAUGUUGUUGUUUUAAAGACUGAAAGGUGGGACUCUAAGGCUGUAACGAGAAGUCAGAGGCGUUCAGAUCCAUGUGCAGAACUUUAUUUAGAGAAUAGUCGGACAAACAGAAAUCAGGAAUGGCGUCAGGUAUGUUAGGGGUAACCACAAUGAAAACAACCAAGCAGAGAUCGGGGCAGGCAGCAGAGAAUCAGAGUUGAAAUACACAAUCCAAGAUCAGAUGAAGGAAGAACAAACACAAGGGAAACCACUCUGAAAUGCUAGACAAGCUAAACAAGACUUUGCAGUGAGUGAGAGUGAUUGUAGUGCUUAUGUGUGUGUAAAUGAGGUGCAGGUGUGGCAAGGAGAUUAGGUGAUGAAUGAGGUGCAGGUGGCAAGGUGAUUGUGAUGCAGUGAAUCAUGGGAGAUGUAGUUCGGGUGUGGUGCAACAGUAUGAGAGGUGCUAGUGUCCAAGUGAUGAUAUGGUGACAUCUGGUGGUGGAUGGGUGGAAUGGUCCUGAGUGGAGUGCCCUCUACUGAAGUUCAUGGGCACUCCAGCUAAUGAUCGUGACAAAUGCAAUGUGCACACACAACCUAUAUUCACCUAUAUGUUUUUGGAAAAAUAUUUUUUCCAGCUAUUAAAUGCUUUAACCUGUUAGCCAGGACCCCCCAUUAUGGGACUCACAGCUGAAAGUGCUCUACCUAACAGUUUCCUACUUCAGUGUGUUACAAACAUAAUUUUGGUGUCUUUGGAAAGAAGACCCUUUGGGCUUUAGUUUUUAUCAACCAGAUUUGAUAAUGGUUGGACGUAGAUGUGUUUGCUGUCUUCUCCACAGCCGAGUCGAUAAGAUUGUACUUUAAAUGUCUCUAUUCUCUUUUUAAAUGGGCUAAAAGGUUAGCUUGACAAUCAUAGUACUGCACCUGAAACUUAAACCUUGUCGAUGCCGUCAAAAAAUAACCCCAGGGCAUUAAACCCCUUCAGCCGCAACCUGAGGCCUCUGACAACAUGGCGAUGGCUGACCAAAUGCCAGGUCCCAUGCUGGAAGAAAAAGACAUGCCAUGGAAGAUUUCGGAAAAGAUCAUCAGUGCCUUUGAUGAGAGAUUCGAUAAACUUGAAGCGACUCUUCGAACCAUACAAACGGCACAUCGAGAGUUAAGGGAAAGUGUCGAGAUGUUAAAGAGCAGGCCAGUGACUAUGAAACUCGUAUCGUCCUGGGAACUUCCCUAGGCACUUUAAACAAAGAGAACAAGAUGCUUAAGUCUAAGCUCAACGAUCUUGAGGGCCGAUCGCGCCGUAAUAACAUCAGAAUUGUCGAUACACCAGAAGGAGCUGAAAAAGGAAGGCCAACUGAAGGGCGUAAAGUGCUGUUUUUUUCUGGAUUAUAUGGCUGAAGUAAUGGAACAAUGCCGGAGCUUCAAUGAAGCGAUGCAAAUUUUAAGAGAGCUUAAUGUGCGUCAUAUUCUGCGCUUCCCUGCCAAGCUUUGCAUCACCCAUAAUGGAAAUACAGGAAUAUUUACAUCUCCCACGGAUGCAAAGCUAUACAUAGACAAAGUUUCUUGUAAAAAUAAGAUGUCUGCUUUCAAAGAUUUGAGAUAGGUAAACACUUUGCCCGUUUUAAUGGGAUGGCCUUAUGGAAUUACAUGAAUGAAUGAAUGAAACUUUUUGAAACUGAACGAAACUUUUUCA